GACGAACCGUGCGAACGUUAUUCGGAAUCACUGGGCUUAAAGCGCGUGUAGGCGGGAGGGCACGUCCGUUGCUGAAAUCCCCCGGCUCAACCGGGGAACGGGCGCGGAUACGACUCUCCUUGAGGGGCGUAGGGGGACCUGGAACUUCCGGUGGAGCGGUGAAAUGCGUUGAGAUCGGAAGGAACGCCCGUGGCGAAAGCGAGGUCCUGGACGCCUACUGACGCUGAGACGCGAAAGCCAGGGGAGCGAAC
rnacentral:rRNA from 1 species